rnacentral:rRNA from 1 species
UUCUGACCGUAAACGAUGCCAACUAGCGAUCCGCCGGCGGCUUCUCGGCCCUGGUGGGGAGCUUCCCGGAAACGAAAGUCUUCCGGUUCCGGGGGAAGUAUGGUUGCAAAGCUGAAACUUAAAGGAAUUGACGGAAGGGCACCACCAGGAGUGGAGCCUGCGGCUUAAUUUGACUCAACACGGGAAAACUCACCCGGCCCGGACACCGUGAGGAUUGACAGAUUGAUAGCUUUUUCAUGAUUCGGUGGUUGGUGGUGCAUGGCCGUUCUUAGUUCGUGGAUCGAUUUGUCUGGUUUAUUCCGAUAACGAGCGAGACUCCAGCCUACUAACUAGUGCGGGCAUUGCCUCUGUGCUUGUCACUUCUUAGAGGGAUUGGCUGCGUCUAGCGGCACGAAACGGAGCAAUAACAGGUCUGUGAUGCCCUUAGAUGUCCGGGGCUGCACGCGCGCUACACUGGCAAAGGCAGCGUGCUUGUCCGCCUCCGAAAGGAGCCGGUAAACCCUUGAAAAUUUGCCGUGAUUGGGAUCGGAAAUUGCAAUUAUUUUCCGUGAACGAGGAAUUCCUAGUAAGUGCGAGUCAUCAGCUCGCGUUGAUUACGUCCCUGCCCUUUGUACACACCGCCCGUCGCUGCCUAGAACUGAGCCAUUUCGAGAAUAUUCGGGAUCGCUGGUUGCGCGUCCUUCGGGGCACGCCUCUGGCAAGAGAACGAACGUAAUCGCAGUGGCUUGAACCGGGCAAAAGU